rnacentral:rRNA from 1 species
UACGGGGGGGUGCGAGCGUUGUCCGGAAUCACUGGGCGUAAAGGGCGCGUAGGUGGUUUGAUAAGGGUGUGGUGAAAGUCCGGGGCUCAACCCCGGAUCUGCCGUGCCGACUGUCAAACUCGAGGACUGUAGAGGCAGACGGAAUUCCGGGUGUAGCGGUGGAAUGCGUAGAGAUCCGGAGGAAGACCGGUGGCGAAGGCGGUCUGCUGGGCAGUUUCUGACACUGAGGCGCGGACAGCGUGGGGAGCAAACAGGG